GCAAGUAUCUUACCUUUGCAUUUCCUUUAUGCAAUGGACAUGAGUAAGAGAGUUUCAGAAUUCUUUUCUAUUCCUGUACAGAUUAUGUACGCUUUGAUUAUCAACAUGUUAGCUCAGAUAUAUAUUCUGUUCAUUGAUUUCUAAAUGGUUAUACAAGUGUCCCCACUUGGAUAAUCAUGGCAUUUAUUCAUAUGUUGAUACAGUUUUUCAAUUACCCGUAUACAUAUAUGUUGAAUUACAUAUUAUUGUUGAGCAAGAUUAAAAACCUUCAGGUUUGGAACCAGGCAUGUAUGAACAUCCC
rnacentral:lncRNA from 1 species